rnacentral:rRNA from 1 species
UCGCCCUUCCAGCACUCCUACGGGAGGCAGCAGUAGGGAAUCUUCGGCAAUGGACGGAAGUCUGACCGAGCAACGCCGCGUGAGUGAAGAAGGUUUUCGGAUCGUAAAGCUCUGUUGUAAGAGAAGAACGAGUGUGAGAGUGGAAAGUUCACACUGUGACGGUAUCUUACCAGAAAGGGACGGCUAACUACGUGCCAGCAGCCGCGGUAAUACGUAGGUCCCGAGCGUUGUCCGGAUUUAUUGGGCGUAAAGCGAGCGCAGGCGGUUAGAUAAGUCUGAAGUUAAAGGCUGUGGCUUAACCAUAGUACGCUUUGGAAACUGUUUAACUUGAGUGCAAGAGGGGAGAGUGGAAUUCCAUGUGUAGCGGUGAAAUGCGUAGAUAUAUGGAGGAACACCGGUGGCGAAAGCGGCUCUCUGGCUUGUAACUGACGCUGAGGCUCGAAAGCGUGGGGAGCAAACAGGAUUAGAUACCCUGGUAGUCCACGCCGUAAACGAUGAGUGCUAGGUGUUAGACCCUUUCCGGGGUUUAGUGCCGUAGCUAACGCAUUAAGCACUCCGCCUGGGGAGUACGACCGCAAGGUUGAAACUCAAAGGAAUUGACGGGGGCCCGCACAAG